CAACAUUAGCAGCACCAUGGGAGGGAAGAUAUGGAUGCUCCCUGGCUUCUCACACGAUAAUGAUGCUCAGCUUCUUUCUUGCUCUUCUCAUCAGAAGUUGAAAAGUUGAAGUACUUGGUAGACUCUUCCUUCCUGGAGAGAGAGGGCUUGUUGGUAUAUUGUUGGCCUCCAGCAAUGCUUACAGAGGCUGUUGCCAGAACAAAUAAGCCUAAAGGGAUUCGAGGAAAUCAUGGUUGGAUCACCCGGGAAAAAAUGCAGUGCAAGCCCCUCCAUGAUGGAGUGAAGAAAAGAGAUGUGGCUAUCCUGGGGCAGUUAAGUAAAUGUGAGGAAGGAUGGUGCAUGAACACAAGCCCCUGGAGUGGACAUAAAUGUUCACCAGGCUUCAGGUGGCUUUCCAUCCAUCCACCCAUCCAUCCAUCCAUCCAUCCAUCCAUCUAUGCAUUGCCUCCUUCAGUAAGAAUUUACCCUAUACCUGGCUGUGUGCUUGGCUCCGGGGAUUCAACAGUUACCAAACCAUAAUCCCUGCCUUCCCAGAGUUAACAUCUAAGGUCUCAGUGGAAUCAAGCAAACAAGCAGGGGUGCUGCACAUUUCACCAGCACCUAGUGUACAGAAGCCAGGGCAGCCAUACAGAAACUCCAUGGGCCCCCCACAGUUUCCCACAGAUGUGACUGUCAGUGUGAUGAUUAACAACACAGGCUUGGAGCCAGACCAUCUGGGUUCACAUUUCAGUCUACCACUUUCUACCCAAGUAACUUAAGGUAAGUUACUUAACCUCUGUGGAUUCUUCCUGUAUAAAAUGAGGAUGCUAAUGAUCAUGCCUGUGACAGAGUUGUGAUGAAGUCUGCAGCAAUGAUAUAAAUGUUAGAAUUUAUUUUUUUUCCCUUACUGUGCUAGCCUUUAUGUUCCUCACUCCAACCCUUUCUAUGCUUCAGUUUUCUCACCUUAAAAUCUUCCAGUUCUAACUCUCUUUUCAAAUUUGAGUAAAUCACUCGGCUUCCCCAAUCCUUGGAAUGGCAUAGCAGUGUAUGGGCAUGAGCACAACCUCUAGAGCCAGACCAUCUGACUUUGAGUCCUGGUUCUGCCACUUAGCAGCUGACUGAGAGGAACAACCUCUUGAUUUCUUUGUUGGUAGAAAAGGGGGUUUAACAAUAACUAAAUCACAGAGUUUUUAGAAGGAUUAAAUGAAUGUAAAUACAUGUAAAGUACUUUUUAAAUGCCUGGCAUAUCAUAAGUAUAUAUAACUGUAAGCUCUUAAUAUAAGUUCCACUAUUUUCCCAUGGACAGUAGGGGAAAUUCAUACAUGGAGUUUGGAAGGGCAAUGACACUGUUUGAUCCUCCCUCCCUAGUUCCCCUAAAAAUUCAUGUGUCAUCAGCAGCAACAACAGUAGCAAACUCUGUCCCAUGGCAAUAUUAUAAGCUUUUGACCACCUCCCUACACCUCUGGAGUUUAGCCAGGUUAUGUGGGUCUCCUUGCCCUGCUUCCAGCCUGGCCUGCCCCUGCUCCACCACCCACCUUCCGAACUGAGAGCAACAGCCCUGCACUUGACUUUCCUGUGGCCUGCCACAGCCUUGGACUCGUAGAGACUUUCCCAGCAGUUUGUCACAUCUCUGGCCUCCUCUUUGUUUUGUGAAACCUUGACCUUUUCUUUCCUCUGUGUGGUGACAAACCACACAGAGAGCUCAGAGAGCUCAUAAAAGCCUCAAUCUUAA